rnacentral:lncRNA from 13 species
CACACGUGCGUUCCUGCAUCGUCCUCGCUGCCAGGAGGCUGCGAGCGUCAGCAAUUCGGAGCCGCCGACGCCUCUCGCGGCAACGCGCUCUGUUUUAAAAGCCGCGCUCCAAGAGGAGCUUGCCAACUCCUGGCAGGAGAACAGCCUGUCCCGGAGGACCCCACUGUGCCUUUUUGUUUCCAGGACCGGAUGUCUGUGUCUUCUUCUCGUGUGUGUAUUUUUGUGAUUCCCGGCUCCUGGGAAAUUGCCUUUAGUUUCUCCUUUUUGCCGGUGGUGGGUGACGUUGAGGCUGAGGUUUCAGAUGGGAGCUAUGCUUUCCCAGCCUCAGCGGGAGGUUUAUCUCCAAGUUGGGGAGUCCCUGAAGAAUUGUGGGUUAAAGUUAUCAAAGGGGUUUUUGAAAAGGUUUGUUAAGUGGCUCUUCUUUUAUUUUCCCCAGAUGUCCCCUGUUAAUUUGAAGUCGGCCACGUUUUGGCAAUUUGUGGGGGACAAAAUAUUAGAAUUAAACCAAAGGGGAGAUCCCUCUGGAGAGAGGUUUCUCUGCAUGGUCUGGGCUUUGAGAGAUAUACACAAAGCUAAUCGGAAAAUAAAAGAAAAGCCCCGAGUUCUCCCCAGUUCUUCCCAAGUCCCUCCUUCCCCCCCUCGUGUUCCUCAUGCCACUGCCCCUUCGCUGAGAAGACCGGGAGGUGUAAAAUGCCCAGAGGCACAGGGCUGCCACCGUCUCCCUGACUCUCCACGAUCCUCUCAGCCACCCCGCCAAAAUAGCCCUGGCCAAGCUGUUUCGGCUUCUACCCAAACCCUCUCUCCUAUGCCCUCUUCCCCGGGUGUUUGCCCAAAAAGCGGUUCCCAGUUUUAUUGCCUUGAAAAUGACGGCGAAGGCUUUUCUUCGUCCACCGUUUUGUCCCCUUUCCCUGCAGUUCCUGCACUCCCCCAAAAUGGAGGAGACCGCAUGGCACAGCCCACCUUUUUUCCUUCUUCUUCCCAAAAUCCUCUUGCCCCCCCUCCUCCUCGCCCUGUCCUGGCCCCGCCCCCUCCUAACAUGACGACUGUGAGCUCCUCCUUCGCGUUGGGUCCUGCCCCCUGCAUCGGGAGUCCCCGCCCUUCCCGUGGCCACUCCUCUUUGUCCUCAGCCCCCGCCUACCGGGAGGAGCCUUCUGGUUCCCACGCCUUCUCUUCCAGUUCCCACGCUGUGGAAACCAGAACCGACGCCAUCUUGAACCCGGAACUGGGAGCCUCCUCCGGUCCCUUCGCCGCUCCGGUUACUUAUAACCAAGCUGGCGGCAACCCCACCUGGAAACCCUUUGACCCUGCUGGGCUCAAAGAACUUUGUAAAGCCCAGAAGGAGUUUGGGAGUGAGAGUCUGUAUUUCCGGAAUCUCCUGCGGGCUGCCCUCGCUAAUACAGUGUUGGUCCCAGCAGACCUCCAAAGCAUUUUUUCUUGCUUGCUUUCUCCAGCCGAAUUCGAGUUGUAGGAUGACGGGUGGAGAAAGCAACUAAGAGAGGUCCUCCCAAUCCUAUUGCAAGACCCUAAUAACGCAGGGGUUUCCAUGGACCACCUUACAGGUGAGGGGUUGCUUGCCAAGCCACAAGACCAGGCCCGAAACACCCCAGAGCCGGUCUUAAAUGCUGUAAAGCAUAUG